rnacentral:rRNA from 1 species
CGGCAGCACGGAGCUUGCUCUGGUGGCGAGUGGCGAACGGGUGAGUAAUAUAUCGGAACGUACCCUGGAGUGGGGGAUAACGUAGCGAAAGUUACGCUAAUACCGCAUACGAUCUAAGGAUGAAAGUGGGGGAUCGCAAGACCCCAUGCUCGUGGAGCGGCCGAUAUCUGAUUAGCUAGUUGGUAGGGUAAAAGCCUACCAAGGCAUCGAUCAGUAGCUGGUCUGAGAGGACGACCAGCCACACUGGAACUGAGACACGGUCCAGACUCCUACGGGAGGCAGCAGUGGGGAAUUUUGGACAAUGGGCGAAAGCCUGAUCCAGCAAUGCCGCGUGAGUGAAGAAGGCCUUCGGGUUGUAAAGCUCUUUUGUCAGGGAAGAAACGGUGAAAGCUAAUAUCUUUUGCUAAUGACGGUACCUGAAGAAUAAGCACCGGCUAACUACGUGCCAGCAGCCGCGGUAAUACGUAGGGUGCAAGCGUUAAUCGGAAUUACUGGGCGUAAAGCGUGCGCAGGCGGUUUUGUAAGUCUGAUGUGAAAUCCCCGGGCUCAACCUGGGAAUUGCAUUGGAGACUGCAAGGCUAGAAUCUGGCAGAGGGGGGUAGAAUUCCACGUGUAGCAGUGAAAUGCGUAGAUAUGUGGAGGAACACCGAUGGCGAAGGCAGCCCCCUGGGUCAAGAUUGACGCUCAUGCACGAAAGCGUGGGGAGCAAAC